rnacentral:rRNA from 1 species
CCUACGGGGAGCAGCAGUAGGGAAUAUUGCUCAAUGGGGGAAACCCUGAAGCAGCAACGCCGCGUGGAGGAUGAAGGUUUUCGGAUUGUAAACUCCUUUUGUUAGAGAAGAUAAUGACGGUAUCUAACGAAUAAGCACCGGCUAACUCCGUGCCAGCAGCCGCGGUAAUACGGAGGGUGCAAGCGUUACUCGGAAUCACUGGGCGUAAAGAGCGCGUAGGCGGGAUAGCAAGUCAGAUGUGAAAUCCUAUGGCUUAACCAUAGAACUGCAUUUGAAACUGUUAUUCUAGAGUAUUGGAGAGGUAGGUUGGAUUCUUGGGGGAAGGGGAAAAACCGGAGAGAACAAGAGGGAUAAUCAUU